rnacentral:rRNA from 1 species
ACGUAGGAUGCAAGCGUUGUCCGGAUUUAUUGGGCGUAAAGAGUUCGUAGGUGGUUCGUUAAGUCUGGUGUAAAAGACUGGGGCUCAACCCUGGGAUCGCACUGGAUACUGGCGGACUGGAGUGCAGUAGAGGCAAGCGGAAUUCCCAGUGUAGCGGGGAAAUGCGUAGAUAUUGGGAAGAAAACCGGUGGCGUAAGCGGCUUGCUGGGCUGGAACUGACGCU